rnacentral:rRNA from 1 species
GGAGGAUCCGAGCGUUAUCCGGAUUUAUUGGGUUUAAAGGGUGCGUAGGCGGCCUAUUAAGUCAGGGGUGAAAUACGGUGGCUCAACCAUCGCAGUGCCUUUGAUACUGAUGGGCUUGAAUCCAUUUGAAGUGGGCGGAAUAAGACAAGUAGCGGUGAAAUGCAUAGAUAUGUCUUAGAACUCCGAUUGCGAAGGCAGCUCACUAAGCUGGUAUUGACGCUGAUGCACGAAAGCGUGGGGAUCGAACAGGAUUAGAUACCCUGGUAGUCCACGCCCUAAACGAUGAUAACUCGAUGUUGGCGAUAGACAGCCUGCGUCCAAGCGAAAGCGUUAAGUUAUCCACCUGGGGAGUACGCCCGCAAGGGUGAAACUCAAAGGAAUUGACGGGGGCCCGCACAAGCGGUGGAGCAUGUGGUUUAAUUCGAUGCAACGCGAAGAACCUUACCUGGUCUUGACAUCCACAGAACUUGGCAGAGAUGCCUUGGUGCCUUCGGGAACUGUGAGACAGGUGC